rnacentral:misc_RNA from 1 species
GAUGAAGAACGUAGCGAAAUGCGAUAAUUAAUGUGAAUUGCAGAAUUCAGUGAAUCAUCGAAUCUUUGAACGCACAUUGCGCCCCUUGGUAUUCCGAGGGGCAUGCCUGUUCGAGCGUCAUUAUAACCCCUCAAGCUCAGCUUGGUGUUGGGGCCUGCUGCACUGGCAGCCCUUAAAAUCAGUGGCGGCGCCAUCUGGCUCUAAGCGUAGUAAUUCUUCUCGCUAUGGAGUCCUGGUGGAUGCUUGCCAUCAACCCCCAAUUUUUCUAUGGUUGACCUCGGAUCAGGUAGGGAUACCCGCUGAACUUAAGCAUAUCAAUAAGCGGAGGA